GUGACACAAACAUGAAAAAAAUGAUUAUAAGAUGAAUUUCUAAUGCUAACAGAACUAAGUGAACUGGACAAAAUAAAGAAUUGCGGGUAAAGAAUAGAUAAAUAAUUUGCAGAAAAAAUUGAUAAGUGUGAUUACUUGCGGAUCAUUUAUAAUUAACUCUUCUCGGCCUUAUAUAGCAUUGUACAAAGUGUGACGUUAAAAGCGGUUAUCAUUCAAAUUCCAAAUUCUAACUAUUCCCAAGAUUCUAGGCCUCAACUUGUAAACGGUUGCAAUUUGGCUAUAUCUCUAUUUCUACAUGGCUGCCCCUUUUCUAUCGGAUUUCCAGUCUUUGUCAAUUGCCUUUCCCAUAUUAGUCGCCAACUUGUAGUGAUAGUUCGGAGCUGCCCUGUCGACAACGCAGUAUGAAAUCUCACCAUCCCAUUAAAAUUCGGAUUAUUUUCUUGUGUGAACAUAUGCCCCUUUUAAAUAAAAUAUAUCGGAGUGCCGGGUUUUUUUUUUUUUUUUUUGGGUCAAAACAGCGGUUUUAUAUAUUAACUCAUGUUUGAACAACCACUGUACAUAGCUUCGGAAUACAGAAGAUCCAACAGAUAAUGCGGAGUGCCGGGUUUAUUUUGUCAAUAUAUGGGCAGAAUUGCAGCGCCUUGAUAACUGCUUUAUCUUCUCCUGUAUUGAUUAGACACGUAGCC
rnacentral:lncRNA from 1 species